AUCCUUUCAGAGGGGGCAGGGCAGACGGUGAAGGAGCGGAGUGGGGAAAGGCUCUGUGAGUGACCCAGAACGGAAAGACUCCAGUCUGGGUCCUAAUGCGGGUGGCGUCUCCUUUGACAGGCAACGUUUGGGGACAACAGCGGAGACAAGAGAUAAGGAAUUAUCCGAAGGUAACAAAGUCGGAGAAUUCGAUGCGACUUGCACGUAUCUGUUUGGAAGAAAGUGGUGAGAUCUAGGCUCCUCCGCCACUAGGAGAAAAUUGAAGAAGGGGAGCAACUUCAAAGUCAGGGAACCGGAGCCUUCUUGGUCACCCUCUGCCUCAGCCUUUAAAUCCGACAGCCUUUGGUUGGAGUCCCAGUCCCAGGAGAAGAAAGUUCACCGGUGGGGAUUGAUAACAUUGUUUUUAUUAUAUAACAUAUUAUAGGAUUUUAUGAUUUAAAGCUGAAACGGACCUUAAUAUGUUCUAUUAUAAAUAUUAUAUAUUUAAUGCAUGCAUUUAAGAAUACAUAGUAAAAUAAUUUUUAAAAAAGUAAAAUCUUCCACUAAGACACUCCCCCUGUGUGGCUUGAGAGGGAGCUGACCGUAUACCAAAGCUUUACCAAUGGAGCACUAGGUCUGGUAGGUCCAAUAGAAUUGGAAGGGCUGAGGGUUAUGUACUAGAUUGAGCAAAUGUGGAGAACCUACUAGAGAAAGGGUCUUCAUGAAACCAUCUACUAAGAUGUGAGAGGCAGAGCUCCUGCUGAGGUGGAGAAAAAAGCACAAGCUGUUGAAAUCUCAGGCCCUUUAUAAUCUAUGUAAUAAAAAUUAUUUGUUUCUAUGUAAUAUA